rnacentral:rRNA from 1 species
GACGAACGCUGGCGGCGUGCUUAACACAUGCAAGUCGAGCGAGCACCAUCCGGUGGCAACACUGGUGAAGUGCUAGCGGCGAACGGGUGAGUAACACGUGAGCAACCUGCCCCCAAGUCUGGGAUAACCCCGGGAAACCGGAGCUAAUACCGGAUACCCUCGCUGAGCCGCAUGGCGCGGCGAGGAAAGUUUUUCGCUUGGGGAGGGACUCGCGGCCUAUCAGCUUGUUGGUGGGGUAAUGGCCUACCAAGGCGUCGACGGGUAGCUGGUCUGAGAG